GAGUUUGAUUAUGGCUCAGGACGAACGCUGGCGGCGUGCUUAACACAUGCAAGUCGAACGUGAUUUUUGUGGAAGUUCUUUCGGGGACGGAAAUGAAAUGAAAGUGGCGAACGGGUGAGUAACACGUGAGCAACCUACCUUACACAGGGGGAUAGCCGUUGGAAACGACGAUUAAUACCGCAUGAGACCACAAAGCCACAUGGCUUAGGGGUAAAAGAUUUAUCGGUGUAAGAUGGGCUCGCGUCUGAUUAGCUAGUUGGAAGGGUAAAGGCCUACCAAGGCAACGAUCAGUAGCCGGUCUGAGAGGAUGAACGGCCACAUUGGAACUGAGACACGGUCCAAACUCCUACGGGAGGCAGCAGUGGGGAAUAUUGCACAAUGGGGGGAACCCUGAUGCAGCGACGCCGCGUGAGCGAAGAAGGUUUUCGAAUCGUAAAGCUCUGUUCCUAUGAGAAGAUAAUGACGUUUNUNGGAGCC
rnacentral:rRNA from 1 species